UCCAGCCAUAUCACCCUGCAACUCACAACUGGCAACCCACUGAAGCUAAGCAGGUGUGAGCCUGGUCAGUGCCUGGAUGGAAGACCUCCUGGGAAAAACUAAGGUUGCUGCUGGAA
ensembl:rRNA 5S_rRNA 5S ribosomal RNA